UUUUAAUAAAAUAAAACUUAAAAAGCACUAAAUCUUUUAUCAAUUUUCUUUUUUUUAAAAAAAAAAAUGAAUAAUUCAUCUUUUUUUUUUGUUAUAUACUCGUACAAUUUUAAUUACCAUACAAAAAUCUUCACAAUCUAUAUAUAAUCUUAACAGAUUAACAAAAUUUCUAAUAAUUCGCCAUACAACCAUGACAAUCAAAUAAAAUUUCCAAAAACCCACGUACCACUCUAAUAGUUCUAUAAAAAUUCUAACAACAACCAUAAAAAUCUCACAUACUAUAGCAACGUUCUAAAAUUUUCUAAAAACACUUCUAUUUAUAU
rnacentral:lncRNA from 1 species